rnacentral:lncRNA from 1 species
UUUGAAUUGCUUAUGUGCUCAGAAUUUGGUUAAAAAUAAUUGGUAGGCUAUGCCAAUUAAGCUGUUUCCAUGUUUUUUUUCAUGUUAACAAAAGUUUGCAACCUUAUGAACCAACCUGACAUUUUGGCUAAUUGGGUACUCAGAUUUUUUCAAAUUUCAGGGUUUCAUGUUCUACGCAUACCUCCUGAUAUGUCAUCUAUAGUUGUGACAUUAUGAUGAUUGAAGGCGUUAAAAGAUACAACAACAACGUCCCAGUAUGAUUCCACAAGUGGGGUAUGGGAAGACGUUAAAAGAUGUGAACCUAAAAUUACAUGGAGGGAAGUAAAUUUGGUAAAACAAAAUUGGUAGUCUAUGCACUAAGCUGUUUCCAUGUAUAUCCUGCCCAAUUGCCACUAGAAGGGGAAGUAGUGAAAGUAUCUCUAACAAAAGAUUGCAACUUUAUGAACCAACCUGACAUUUUGGCUAAUUGGGUACUCAGAUUUUUUCAAAUUUCAGGGUUUUAUGUUCUACGCAUACCUACUGAUAUGUCGAUCUAUAGAUGUGACAUUAUGAUGAUUGAAGACGUUAAAAGAUGUGAACUUAAAAUUACAUGGAGGGAAGUGUCUCACAUGAUCUUAAAUAAUCUAUUAAAAAGAAAAAAGAAUGAGAGUUGGCUCAAAAUAAAAGAUGGUGUAAGUAAGACAUCCAUAAGUGAAAUUGAUAAUGACUUGUUGAUAUUAAACUAGUUAUUGAGAUUAAGAUACGCCUAAUUUUGUCCGAAAGACAAAUUAUUUAUUAUCGGAAUGAAAUUGACCUGGGCAGUGGUAUUAAGAAGAAUCAUAACCCAAUUAAUUUGGGAUUGAGCCAUUGAGGUGUGGUUGAUUGAUAAAUAUUUAUGGAAGGUUGUUUGCUAUUGUAGUUUAUGUGGGGGAGUAUUAUGUUGCAUAUAGGAUGUAACUUAUUCUGCGGUCGUAGUAGAGUAUAAAGUAGGAUAAAGGAAUAAACAAGCAUGGAACUCCACUGGAAAUCACUGGGGUUGAUACUGCUGUAAUAAAUGAAAAGCACAUAAAUCCGACCCUUUAUCUUUCCCGGGGUAAGUAAGAGCACAUUUCACAAAUCUACCCCUGUAAUCGAACUUCUUGAACUCCUUGAGGCCUUCUAUUUUUAAUCCUUAAUUGGGAGCAAGCAUGGAGCUGCAAAGGCUUGCCUACUCUAAAGCAGUAUUCAGAAAAAUAUUAUCCAAAAGAUGAUGCCAGUAGAAAGCUCCAUGUUGGUAAAUGAUUCCACUGGAUUGUCAUCGAUUUCACUGCAAAAGUUUCUUGAUGGACUUUCAUCAAUCCCAUUGCAAAGACCUGGUUCUUUCGAAUGUCACGACACUCAACUAUAUGCAGAUCUAGAGAUAUUGAUACCUAGGGGUGUCAAGUGUGUGUGUGUGUUGUGGGGGGCUGAUUUUGGGCAGGUCAAAAUGGGCUAAGUCAAUAAAUUGUCGGGUCAAUGACCCACCCAAAAGUUAUUUGGUCUGAGGUGAGGUUUGGGCCAAGAUGUGGGCUAAAAUUUGAGUCAUAAGCCUCUUACUAAGCUUUAAUUAAUGUAUGUUGCUUUCUUAUGAAUUAUUUAAUUAUCAAAUAAGUCUUUUUUCUUUUAUUAUGGUCAUUUAUAACAUAUUAAGGAAAAGACAUUAUUUUUAAAGAUAUUUUAACAAAGUUGCUCGUGAAUCAAUUUGGGCUAAAACCAACCCAACUUUAGAUGGGUUGGGUCAAGAUGGGGUGAGUUCAACAAUGGACAAGUCAUUGAGUGGCCCAACCUUGAUUGUGUUGGGCUUAGAUUGCCACCCCUAUUGUUACCUAAAUUUGUUAAAAUAAUAUUGUCCUCUCUAACAAUUUUUUGAUUAAAAAGAAAACAAAUGCACCUCUUAAACUAAUAAUAUAUGUGGUCAAAUAAGAAGUUUCAUUAUAGGAGCAUUUAUCAUGAAUAAUCUAUGUUUCUGUGAUAUUGCUGCAACUUCAUCUGAGAUAUUUGUUGCACUCGCUGCUGUGUUGUUUUUGCUCUCUCAGAAGUAAUCCCCAAAACUUUAAUUACUAUAGUGGUUGAUGUGAUUAGUUUUUCUGGGAAAUCUAAUGAUAUGUGCUUCAACUCAUGCUAGAAAGCACUAUCGAGUAAUUUAUUUUGGCAUUUGAAAGAGUUUUAGUUUCGAAUUUCAUCCCAUACUUGUUAAAAGUUCUUCCAUAAUAUUUGUGGUUAAUUGUUAAAUUUCAAAAAUCUAUUUGUUUAGUUUUCUUAAUGCAAUGAAUCCAUAAUAUUGGAAAUAUUUGUUAAAUCUCGAUUUCUUAGUUAUAUCUCAGUUUCUUA